CGUUAUCGUUUAUUUGAUAGUACCUUACUACUUGGAUAACCGUGGUAAUUCUAGAGCUAAUACAUGCUAAAAACCCCGACCUCUGGAAGGGGUGUAUUUAUUAAAUAAAAAACCAAUGCCUUCGGGCUCCUUGGUGAUUCAUGAUAACUUUACGAAUCGCAUGGCCUUGUGCCGGCGAUGGUUCAUUCAAAUUUCUGCCCUAUCAACUUUCGAUGGUAGGAUAGUGGCCUACCAUGGUUUCAACGGGUAACGGGGAAUUAGGGUUCUAUUCCGGAGAGGGAGCCUGAGAAACGGCUACCACAUCCAAGGAAGGCAGCAGGCGCGCAAAUUACCCAAUCCCGACACGGGGAGGUAGUGACAAUAAAUACUGAUACAGGGCCCUUUCGGGUCUUGUAAUUGGAAUGAGUACAAUUUAAAUCCAUUAACGAGGAACAAUUGGAGGGCAAGUCUGGUGCCAGCAGCCGCGGUAAUUCCAGCUCCAAUAGCGUAUAUUAAAGUUGUUGCAGUUAAAAAGCUCGUAGUUGAACCUUGGGUCUGGGUGACCGGUCCGCCUCACCGCGUGCACUGGGAGCCCGGACCUUUCCUUCUGGCAAACCUCAUGCCCUUUACUGGGUGUGUUGGGGAACCAGGACUUUUACUUUGAAAAAAUUAGAGUGUUCAAAGCAGGCAUUUGCUCGAAUACAUUAGCAUGGAAUAAUAAAAUAAGACGUGCGGCUCUAUUUUUG
rnacentral:rRNA from 1 species